UUUAGAAUGUGAUUCAAGCGCAGUCCUUCUGUAAAUAUGAGUCAAGGGUACUUUUGCUCUUUUAAUUCUAUGCUUUGAUGUGACAUGGGAAAGACUCGGAACAAGAAAAUCCGGUGUUAGAACUGAAUAAAAAAAUUCUUGAAACAGAGUCAUAAAAGUUGCGUCAGGACGUUGAGUUGAAACUCAGGUAUUGAGAGUCAAACUCGUCAUCUACCUGUGCACCUGUCGGAGGUGAUCACAUGCAACAUUUGCUACGCAUAUUAGGAAAAUGUGGGGUAAAGUGAAACAGUGAAGAUAAGUUACCUUUUUCAAAAUGAACGAAUGAGAAAUUUGUUUUGAAAAUUGC